rnacentral:rRNA from 1 species
AUGUACAAACCCAAUAAGAGGGACAACGUUGACGAAUUUGAUGAUGUAGGUGAAGGAGUUGGGAUGGAGAAUGGCAAGUACAAGUCAUCAAAAUAUUGGCCAGAUAUUGAAUCACCUAUGGACGUAAAGAUAGGAACAUCUUUCACGGGUGUGAAUGAUACCUCCAUGCCCGUUGAUGACACGGGUGCUCCAGCGAUGACACCGGGUAAAGGGGAAGCUACUGAUCCUUUCAUUAAAGACGAUAAUGGAAACUCUCCAUCUUUGGCAUCAACUGUACGGACAAAAGACUUUCCGUCUAUGUCCCGAACCCCGCAGAAUGGUGAUAUUUCUGGUGAGUCUAUGGGUGGUUUGUCACCAACAAAGUCCGAAGAAACGUUUGAGAGUUUCCCGGCAAAGAGCAACAUAGGUAAUGGUGGAGGCAGUGAAGACAAUGAAGGUAAACACAAACGAAAUCCGUCGAAAUAUUGCCAAUCCCCCUACGACCUUCUCAUUACCCGCAAGAAACGUGUUAAAAAAAAUCUGUUUGCAUCGUCACCACAUUCAAUUCUAGCAAGUUCUCUUAAUAUGACUCCCGAUCACAUAGAGGCAGCCAAAGCUUUUAUUGAGACUCUUGCAUCAUCAAAGAAGCAUGCGCACCGAACCGUGGUUGAUGUGCCGUCACCAGAUGGGGACAUAUGCACGCCAGCUAUGUUUCACGAUGUCCUUACGUUUAAAUGGUUGAAUGGCGCUGCAUAUUUUCCUAUGCACGUUAAUGAUAAUCAUUGGAUAACCAUAGUGAUGCACACUGUCAAGGAGGAGUUUCAAGUUCUUGACUCAAAUUCUAAUGGCGCAAUUAGCCAAAGAAUUCGCAAUAUUAUUGCCACCCUGAGCUGA